rnacentral:lncRNA from 1 species
GCCUGUAAUUCAGUGGUUGUCGUUUGUUUAUGUGUUAAAUAUUUGUUUGUCGUUCAUUUUUUUUUACAUAAAUAAGGCCGUUAGUUUUCUCGUUUGAAUUGUUUUACAUUGUCUUAUCGGGGCCUAUUAUAGCUGACAAUGCGGUAUGGGCUUUGCUCAUUGUUGAAGGCCGUACGGUGACCUAUAGUUGUUAAUGUCUGUGUCAUUUUUGUCUUUUGUGGAUAGUUGUCUCAUUAGCAAUCAUACCACAUCUUCUUUUUUAUAU